rnacentral:misc_RNA from 1 species
GUGAAUCAUCGAAUUUUUGAACGCAAAUUGCACUCUCUGGGAUUCCUGAGAGUAUGUCUGUUUGAGGGUCAGUUUAAAUAAAAAUCGUUGUGGUUGCUGCCUUUCGUGGUUACGCAUCGUCUUUGGGUCGUCUUGCUUUUGGUUAAGUGACCUUAAAUUUUUUUUGAUUUUUUUAGACGUAUUUAAAUUAUUUUUCUUACUUUUCUGUUAUUGAUUCCUGAGUCUGGUUAUCUUCGU